ensembl:lncRNA inhibitor of CDK, cyclin A1 interacting protein 1
UCCUCGGCUGGCCACCCAAGCCCCCCCCCUCUGCCACCUGACCAAGCGUUCUGUGUGAUUCCGAGAAGCCCGCCCGCCUGCUCUCCUGCAGCCACCUGGGAGGGACGACCCAAAGGAGGAGGGGUGUCAUGGGGCCCACUUUGCGUGCCCGGAGGAGAACAGAACAGGGUGUCCUUGGAAAGAACCAGGCCACCCGCUUGGCCUCCUUCUCCCGCUUCCUCCUCCUCUGGUCCCGUCCCGUCCGGGCACACAACGGCUCCUGUGGCUUUAUCACGGCGGCGUCCAGGAAGGCCAGCUCUUGGGAAGAGGGUGGCCCUUGUGUUGGUUGCGUUGCAGGAACACAAGAGAGAAGAAUCCCAACACAAACCAUCACAACCAGUUCCUUUGCAGAAGGCGAAGAGGAGGACUGGGAGAGGAGGCAGACUGUGAUGGGGAGGCAACUCAGCCAUGGGAGAGCGUCCGCCCGAGCAGACACCCCGAGGCCGGCCAGCCCAGCAAUGGAGGUUCCAAUACCCUUUGCAACGCAGUCCAAGAAAGUCAGCAGAUCCUCUCCAGAAGCAGCUGCUCUCCAAUCCAACUUUUCCAGCGGGAACCUCUGGGAUCGACUCAGCCAGCCGCCAAGCUCCCACUGGAUGGAAGAAUACCACGAGGCCCCACCCCUGCUGACCUCGGGCGGUGUAGCCCGAAGAGGAGCUGCCAAGACGGAGGCUGGCCCUCUCCUCCCCUGGCAGGUGAUUUCAACCCUGGAGAAACUUCCCUCGCCUAAGGAGCUGUGCCACAGAAGGAGAAAGGGAGCCAAACGGAAAAGGCCAGAAGAUUUCCGAGCUUUGUCCGUUUUUUAUCACCUGGAGGAGCUGAAGAGAAGGCAGAACAAUAUUGAUGAGCAAAAGAAGAUGACGUGGGGGCCCCGUGUCUCCCAACAGGGCCGUGAUGGUGCAGAAGGUGGUCCUCCUGGCCCUCCCACCCAAGCAGCCUGCCCCGAAGAAGUCCCGCUGGGGCCCUUCAGCAUCCCAGCAGCUCCUGAGCUCUACCAGAGGCAGCCGGUCCUCCACAGAUACCAGGAGGCAGAGCUUUUCUGUCCGGAGUGGACCCCCUCCGUGAAACAACAGCCAGCCUUCUGCAGAGAAAGCCCCGUUCUCUCCUAUACCGUGGCUACUCAGGAGAGGCACCCCAUGCCAGCAGCAAGGUGCCUAUCGGAGGGGGACUUUUGGAGAUUCAACCUGCAGCCAGAAGAGUGAACUCGGGCCCCUCUGCAAGGGAAGGAAGCCUGGUCUGAAAAGGGCUGACCAUCUGCAGAAUGGGGACAAGGGGGGGGGAGAUUGGUUACCCUUGGUCUGUGCACAGGUAAUGGGAGGGGGGGACAGACAGGAAUGUUGUAACAUGUAUGUAUGCAUCUCUCCCUCUCAGGCCUGCUUGCAUCCUCCCUGUUGCCAUUCCCCUUAGUUCCCUCCCUGUUCCCCCCCCCAUGACUUUAUCUUUGCACGGAUGCUGUGGUCUUUCUAUUUAUUUGGCACUCACACACAUGCAUACACAUGGCAACGCCUUCCUCCCUCUUCGGCUGGCAGUAAGCCUUCCACUGUAGAGUGGGGGGAAAAGGUGGAGCGGGGGAAGAAGCCAACACCACGGGGAAACUUCAGGAGUGUUUCCAUAGUAAUAUAGUACCGGGAGCAGAAGAGAGGCAGCCGCUUGGAUCUAGCCUGGCAUCCCCACCACCAGCCACCACUUCCCUCUGUCGCGUAGGUGUGUGGUGUGCCGUUAUCAAACAUUUAUUGGGAAGGAAAGAAAGCCCCACGGGCAGCAGAUUCUACAGCUCUGAAAUAUUUUUAUAGAUCUGGGAUGCUUUGCAAAAAAGUCUUUUACUACAUUGAGCCCCUGCGAUGCAAGAUCUAUGUGUCUUAUACAGUAUAUGCACUGAGAGCAAGCAAGUGGAAUCUUUUGUACGUGCGUACAUGUAAUUUUAAAGAAACUGUGCUUAUCACAGUUUCUCUCUUUUCUAAAGGGCGAGGGAAAAGUGAAUCUGUCUCUCUUCCCCCCCCCCAUCAUCUGCCUGAGAAAAACAAUUUCAGGAAGAAUUCCUGCAUGAUCCUCCCGAUUCAGCACAUCUGUCCUCGUCCGCAAACCUCAUUUUAUCUCCCCUUCUCAUCCCACAGGAGCGGACUAUAAAAUGUUUCUGAGACCAGUGCCUCUUGUGAAUUAAUUGGCAUGCCGGUUUGAUAGCUGGGGGAGGAGCAGAAAUGCCAGACUAAUUUAGUAUGUUAACAUGUUUUUAAUUGUGAGGGAGGGGGUGAGGAAUCUGUUAAGAGGGUCUUCUGAGGGAUUUAAAGAUGUUGUUCUUAACGUGUUUCAAAUGCAUAGCUGUGUUUUGUUUGAUGUUUCCCUGAAAUGCACCCUGGGGAAAUCUUGUGGAUGGAACUAUUGUUAUCUGUGGGGGGGGGGGAAGCCCCAUCACCACCAGUGCAAAAAGGGUAUGGAGGUCCUCAGCCUUCAUCUGGAGCAGCAAAAGCCUUUCUCCUCCAUCGCUUUCCGCCACAGAAGGGGAGAAAUGACCUUCCUUGCCUUGUGAAUUGAUGUUAAAGGAAAGGUUAUUCAAUGGAGUUCAAAGGCAGGGAGUUCAAAAAAGGAGUUUGUUCUUGAAAAUUGUUUCUGGAAUAUAUUGUGAGACUGCAUAAUUGUUGUAGCAACCAUCUUGUUAUUUACAGUAUUUUUACAGUGACGGGGGGGGGGAGGAAGAGACUCCAUGUGCUGUUCCUGGGCCAGAUCCCCGGUUGCCUUUCCCGAAAACCUCCCUGGGGUGGGGUGGGGUGGGGGGGCAGCCGGGUGAACAACAUGGUCUUCUUAUCUGACAAAAACAAGAGGCCCAUGGAUUGCAGCCCACUUCAUCAGCCUCAACCCACCCAGGCUUGUGCCAAAUAAAUCAAUAAAUACAUGCGGCUCGUGUUCUAAG